rfam:Ovis aries breed Texel chromosome 2, whole genome shotgun sequence.
UCCCUGGUAGCUCAGACAGUAAAGCGUCUGCCUGCAAUGCGGGAGACCCGGGUUCGAUUCUGGGUCGGGAAG